rnacentral:misc_RNA from 1 species
AUCGCGCCGAGCCUGUGUACUACUAUAUACGCAGAGUAUAUUUUAUAUACCGUAUAACAACAGUCGCGUCGUUUCACUAUCCACUGUGUGCCAAGCCAAGCGAGGAUCGCCUUUUUUUUACAUUUUCAAUAAACCAACGUUUGGUUCGUGUGUUGUUUACAGUUGUUGUUGUUGUUGUUGUUGUUGCUGUGUGCUGUUUCAUUUUUUUGUUGUUGAUGUUUAGUUCUGCUGUGAUUUCGUUCGGCUUCAGUGCUCAAGUGUGAAGUUUUUAUAUUCGUUCGAAUUUAUUACAAAAAUUUAAGUGUCCAGGCGGCGGUUGCAGCGAAGCGACGAUCGCUUGCUUGCUUGAGCGCAGAUCUCUGUUUACGCGCGAUUCCUUCCUUCCUCUGCUUUGCAGCAGCAGCAGCAGCAGCAGUCGAGAGAAUCGUUAAAUCGUCCAUAGUGAUUGGUCCUUAAAAGAGCGCACCGAUUCGAGUGAGCACUAGAGGGAUACGCAGCCUCGCUACGUUUUAUAAUAUAGCAGCAGCAGCAGCGGAGGUGAAACGAGCAACGACGACAUAACAUAACCAUGGGUCGCACCGGCUAUACGUGCAUUAGGCAUGUGUUCUGCUCGCUCAACGUCCUCAUUUGGUUGUGCGCUUGCGGCAUGCUCGGCGCCGGCCUCUGGAUGCGAUUGAACUAUCCGUACGAGCACGGCUACGGCACCCUCGUGCCACAGUACCCGUACGCCUCGUCGGACAUCGUCGUGCUGGCCAUCGGCUGUCUCACGUUCCUCGUCGCCUUCUUCGGCUGCUGCGGCGCCUGGUUCCAGUCCCGAUGUCUCCUGAUCACGUACUUCAGUCUCGUCAUACUGGUAUUCUUGGCGGAAUUCAUGCUCGGCUCGCUGGCCUUCAUCUUCAAGGAUCAAGUGGGCAUCACGAUGAAGGAGCAGCUCUACAACGGCAUUCAAGAGCACUACAGCGACGAAAACGUCCACGAGAGCGGCACUUUCGCUAAUUUCUGGGAUUACAUACAAUCGACCUUCCAAUGCUGCGGAGUCGACAAGUACAACGACUGGUACAACAUCAAGGCAUGGCCGCGCGAGGAGCGCGUGCCCGACUCGUGCUGCCGGGUGCGCGAGCGCUACUGCGGCAAGCAGUACGAGAACGACGAUCGCCAGCUCAACUGGUAUCAGGACGGCUGCUCGGCGGCCAUACAGAUGUGGCUGGUGCAGCGUCUGCACUUCGUGGGAAGCGUCGGCUUGGCCAUAGGCUUCGUCCAGCUGUUCGGCCUCAUCGCCAGCAUGAUACUCUUCUGCACGGUCAGGCACAAGCGAUCAACCCACACGUACAAAAGCUACGACACAACGACGACAUAAAAAGCAAAAAAGCAAAAAUUUGACGAUCAUGCCUCUAUAACUAUGAUUUUUUUACAUCAUCCACAAUCUUCACGCUCCGAGAGAGACGAGCAUCAGGAAACGAGGUAAAGCUUUGCCGAUUCUGGAUGAGGAAUACCGAUUAAGUUGAUGAUGAUGAU